UACAGAGGUCUCAAGCGUUGUUCGGAUUCAUUGGGCGUAAAGGGUGCGUAGGCGGCGCGGUAAGUCGGGUGUGAAAUCUUGGAGCUUAACUCCGAAACUGCAUUCGAUACUGGCGUGCUUGAGGACUGGAGAGGAGACUGGAAUUCAUGGUGUAGCAGUGAAUGCGUAGAGAUCAUGAGGAAGACCAGUGGCGAAGGCGGUCUCUGGACAGUUCCUGACACUGAGACACGAAGGCUAGGGAGCAACGG
rnacentral:rRNA from 1 species